rnacentral:rRNA from 1 species
CAGUAGCCGCGGUAAUACGAAGGGUGCAAGCGUUACUCGGAAUUACUGGGCGUAAAGCGUGCGUAGGUGGUGGUUUAAGUCCGUUGUGAAAGCCCUGGGCUCAACCUGGGAAUUGCAGUGGAUACUGGGUCACUAGAGUGUGGUAGAGGAUAGUGGAAUUUCCGGUGUAGCAGUGAAAUGCGUAGAGAUCGGAAGGAACAUCUGUGGCGAAGGCGACUAUCUGGGCCAACACUGACACUGAGGCACGAAAGCGUGGGGAGCAAACAGGAUUAGAUACCCGCGUAGUCCCUGUCUCUUUACA